GACGAACGCUGGCGGCGUGCUUAACACAUGCAAGUCGAACGCUGAACCCGCUUCGGUGGGGGAUGAGUGGCGAACGGGUGCGUAGCACGUGGGCAACCUGCCCCCGGCUCUGGGAUAACUCCAAGAAAUUGGGGCUAAUACCGGAUGUGACCGCUGGCCGCAUGGUCUGGUGGUGGAAAGGGUUUCCGGCUGGGGAUGGGCCCGCGGCCUAUCAGCUUGUUGGUGGGGUAGUGGCCUACCAAGGCGACGACGGGUAGCCGGCCUGAGAGGGUGACCGGCCACACUGGGACUGAGACACGGCCCAGACUCCUACGGGAGGCAGCAGUGGGGAAUAUUGCGCAAUGGGCGGAAGCCUGACGCAGCGACGCCGCGUGGGGGAUGACGGCCUUCGGGUUGUAAACCUCUUUCAGCAGGGACGAAGCGCAAGUGACGGUACCUGCAGAAGAAGCACCGGCCAACUACGUG
rnacentral:rRNA from 1 species